rnacentral:tRNA from 1 species
GCUUUCGUGGUGUAGUGGUCAGCACGCUCGAUACGUAGGCAAGAGGUCCGUGGUUCGAUUCCCGGCGAAGGCU